GGCUGAUGCGCCUGGCGGCCCGCCCUGCCCCGCGCUCGGCCUCAGCUUGUGUGUUAAUUGUCUCCGGCGCCCUCGGCUCGGCACCUCCUGCUGUUUGGGCCCCGGGCAUUCGCUUCCACGGGGGGCGUCUUUGUGCGGGUUUACGGUGCGAUUUCUGAAUGUGAAUUGUGAAUGCCAUUAAAGUAAGGAGGCAGUGCAAAAGAAACCCUUUAGAGAGACUUUUAUUAAGUUUUGCCGCACUUGUUUCAUUGGGGUUUGUUUUAGGACCGUGAGAGGUGCUGCCAAGAUUGACUUUCAACCAGAGGAUGGAAUGAGUUGUCACCUGUGUAAGUCCAGGAAAACAGCGCAUGUCACGGGCAGAGACCCAGCGGGGACACCCACCAGCCUUCUACAAAACCAGUUGUACUUGCACAGAUAUGUCUGCCUGGUGUGGCAGAGCUGAAGCUGCAGUUUGAAGGGAAGUAAUCUCUGUUUCUUCAUUGUGAAUCACCACAUACACUUUUCUUUCUUGCUUCCUCACCCCAUCCUUGGUAUUAUGAGGCAUUUUGGGGCAAGUUUAUGUUUUGCUGUAAAAGACAGAGUUUCAAAACAUAAAUUGUUCACAUUUUCUAGAGCACUAGAGUCAGGACUAUUGAAUCCCGUUCUCUAGCACCUGUUCUGAGACCUUGGACAAACCAGUGAUCUCCAUGCUUUAAAAUAUCUGCCGUACACAGGUGUUUUGGGAAAAAAUACCAUAAACUAUUUGAAGUAUUUCUGAUCCUCAGGAAAAUAUACAGCAGAACUACACAGCAUUAAUAAAUUAAUCUUGGUUUAUAAGAUAAAUGUUUGUAAAAAAUCUCAUUUUUUAAAAAAUCUUAGGUACUUUGGCAGUAGGUAAAUAUGAGAACCUAAAAAGAGGUAGUUUCUUCAUCAAAGUAAACCUACUGUAUUCAAAUCAUUACAAAAAUGAAAAUUUCUACAAGUUGUCAAGUUUACUGAAUCUUUAAAGUACAAUUUUGCUGCUACUUUCAAUAUCUGUGCAGAGGUCAAAAGCACUAUGAUAUUGCUGUGCAUUUCUUUACAAGUCUUCAUCCCUCCCCAUCCCUCCCAAGCUUUGGCUGAUUGUACACCCCCCCCCCCCAGGCCCUGAACUGUCUAUCUGAUAUAGCCUGGCUUUCUUAAAGUACAAUGUCCAUCUGUUUAGGCCAUGCUGACCUUUAUUGUUUGCAUGACUGCAUGACUUGUGUUCUGCUGUGUUUGCCUUCUGCAGUGUCCUUAUCCCACUUUUUGAGGCUAGCCACUACCAGGUGCUAUUACAUAUUUUUAUCUUCUAACCUGUCUUUAAAUAGUUUCACACCUAUCAUCUUCUGAAAAACUUGUCUCAUAUAUCCAGUCCUCCACUCUUUCUUCUGCUACCUCCACUCUUGAAUAUUGCUUUUUUUCAGAAUAACUUUCUUAGUAUGAUUGAUAAAUAGGCACUUAGUAGUUCGCAACAUGAGAUUUCUAUUGAUCCAUUAUUUCAUCAGUUUCCAACAGCAGUCAUGGCUAAGCAUAUCCUUGAUAAAAUCACCCACACUGUGACAAAAGCUCCUUCUUUGUUUUGCAAUAUGAGAUCUGUAUUUCAAUACUUCAUAUAUUGCAGCUGUUUUAUUUUCUUGGUAUUCUUGAGGCUAUGGGAGUUUUCCAGGGUAGCAAAUGACAGCGAUAUUAAUUCAAACGUAUCUCAAAUGUAAAAGCUAGAGGUGGAAAGGUAGCUUGGAAGAAAACAAGGCAAAGAGUACCACACCUGCCACCUGUGUUAAUAAUAGUGCGUGUAGUUUCUCUGAAGCAGCAAGAUCAAAUUGACAGUUGUGUUUUUAAUAUGGUCCAAGGUAUGGUUCAAACUUCUUACCAUCUAUAUAGGAACAUCCAUACAAAGCAAGCUAAUUAAACUGGGAAGUGCACUCUGGAAGACUGAAGCCUAUAGGGAAAAAAAAUGCCUAUUUACUAUUAAAGCCUUAAAACCCUAUAAUAAACAUCGGGAGACCUCAUAACAGCAAGUGUUAGGCUAUGGUCCCAUGUCUGAAGUGUUAAGCAGCAGUAUCUGCCUAAGCAGUUCUUCAAUUUCACAAUUAAUUAAAACAAAACAGUCUGCUUAAUAAAAAGCAGUAAUAAAAUUGCUAAACAGUUCAGAUUCUCAAGUCACGUCCUCAAUCAAUCUUGAUCUUAGCCAGUUGAGUUUUAAGGAGCGAGUGAAAAGUUGGGAAGAUGUGAAAUAGUUAUGGAGUGAAUAUUUUGUCCGACUAAUAGUUAACAUGAAUACUUUUUUUUUAAUGGAAUCUGGGUUAACAAAUAAGAUGAUGCUCUGAUUUGGUUUCUGUCAGAACAGGAAGAACCUGUAUUAUUUGCUGUUGGCACUUGGCAUACAACACCCAACUAUAUUCUGAGAACAACAUAUCAUCUAAUAAUUAAAUGAAAAAUUAUGUUGUUUGUUGUCGGUCCAAUGUAACAUAUGUUAACAUCAGGGAGAGCAACUUACAAAUGUUGUGAAAGGUGGCAAGUGAAUGAUAUUAAGUUAGAUAAAUUGAGGCAAGCUGCAAGACGCAAACUGUGCCACGUAUGUUAGUUAGGUUUGAAGGUAAUUUGUAUAGUGCUGGUCUCCAUUCUGUAGACUUGCACUUGCUUGGUUUUUAAGUCCAUAUAAAUUCAGCAAGAUUGUUCACUUGUUUAAUGUUAAGUAAAGUAUUACGAUAUCUGAAAACUUCGUAACUAGUGGAGCAAGAAGGACGGUUCCAAGGAUUGAUGUGGUCUCUCUUGUGAAAUCUAUGUUAUCUCUUAGGUAUAUCUCUUAGUUGUAGAAUUUGGCAUGGUUUGCAGGGGAAUUAAUGAUCUGCUCUAUUAAUGCAGUCAUCAGUGUUAAGUGAUAAGCUUUUAUCAUUCUACAGAAGUGCUAGACCAGAGUAUUAGCUUGUUGCUUGAUUUUUAACAGACGGAAAUUAUACAUCUGAAGUUGAGCUACAUUUAAUUAUGUGUCAGUUCAUGUAUGUGUAUAUAUCCAUAUAUGAAUAAUCAUACGAACUGUUCUCAAUGACAGCCUCAUCAAUACAGCUAAUAUCAACCAAAUGGAAUCAUAUUUUUAGUCACAUCAUAGAACUUGAAACUCCAGUGUGGGUGAAGUAAUGUGGAUAUAAUAUCAGCCACUCAAACCCCAUAAGCCUCCACCUCCAAGAAACAUGCUGAUUAUAACACAGGUUUGAUCUUUGGAGUGGGGCCUACAGGGUGAAACGGACAUAAACUCUCUUUGAUCUGCAGAACAGAGAGAAGACAUGCUUCCAUUUCUUUGUACCUCCUGUUUUCUCUUCUUGCCCUUUUCUUAUCCACCUCCUGCAUAUCCUGUAGAUUACUGGGUUGUUACAGGAACUUAAGAUGUGGGAAGAUAGUCUUUCUGAGCAGAAAGUAAAAUUUCAGAAUAACGUGGGGAGAAGAUGAUUAAAAAAAUGCUUGAAUGAUAAAAAAAAAAAAAUGCUUAGAGAGCUUAGGGUGUACAGAUCAUUGACUUUUAAAUAUAUUGAUGCUUGCAAACUUUCUGUGCUAUUACUGCCUUACUUCCCCACUGUAUGGGGACAGGAGUACUUGUCCUAAUCUUUGUUAAUUGACACCAUAGCCCACAAGAGCUUAACUGCUACACACAAGUCUCCUUUCUGCAUGUCCUUGAUUUCUGAUCAUACUUUUUGCUCUGUACACCUGAUUUUUUAAUGUGACUCUGAUCUAUCCUCUGUAAAAACACUCCUUUGCUUAAUACCUCAUACCUUUCCAAAAUACAAAACAACAGAUCAUUUCUUAUAAGCACAGCUCAUAAAUUCAAAAUUCCAGGUGAAAGUGUGGAAGUACAUAGGAAUUACCAUUAUUAGAGCAGACUCAAAUUAUCUGGUCUUCUGUCUGUACAUAGUAUCAGAUACUCUAAAAGACAGUAUAGAUUCCACACAUUUGCUUUCAUAGUGGAUCUUACUCUAAUUUCAAACAUUAUGCACUAAGUUCUAAAGUACAGUAUUUGACAUCUAUUUUUUGUUGCCCUUAAGUAUUAUAAUCACUCAUACUCUGUUGGUCCCAAAACCCCUCCUAAUAUUUCAGAUGAGAGCAAACCUCUGAUUGGUUUUAAGAAUUACAUUUAUUUUACUUACUGUUUUCAUUUGCUUCUCCUGUUUGCUGGUUUCUGGUUUUGACUGGUUUACAGAGAGAUGUCUUCACUGAGCUGUCCAUAUUGAUCCUUAAAAUGCUGAAUUCCUUUUGUGAGUCAAUACUGUUGGACAAUCUGUGUGAGAUAAAUACAGAAUUCGAUUUUUCUUCCAAAAUGCAGUACUCUACAUUUCUUAACAGUUGGUUGACAUUUUAAGCUUCACUUGCCUACCUUGUUUGGACUGAGUGGGUAGAAAAAUGGUAACUGAAGCUCCGUGUUCCUGUUUAGCUUGUUCAUUUUUUUUCCUGAAGCGAAUCACAGCUCAGUUUGAUCUUGGCACCUUUUGGUGAUCUGAAAGCCAAGGUAUUUCACUGCUCAACAUUUAUUUCUAGCUUAUCUCAAAUAUUGAUUUAUGUUUUAUAGAUACAUAAAAUAGAAGACAAGAAUUCAUUAAUGUGAACUUCCUAUCAUAAUUAGAACAAUACUUGGUUAAAAAAACUGUUUCCUUUUUCAUCAAAAAGUGAGAAAAUUGAAGGGAGUCUUUGAGGAACAUUUUACUAAAAAGGCAUUUGUGAACAGUAUAAUGGAUCUUUGCAAAGUUAAGGUGUCAAGUUUGAUAUCUGAAUUCAGUAACUUUGACAAAGGCAUUUAAAAUAGGUUUACAACUAAUUUCUGUUUCCUAGAUAGAACCCUAAUUCUUUUAUUGAGAUUGCCUCACAAUUCACUUAUAAGUAGUACUUUUCAGCAGUUUAUAUCUUCACUAUUUAUAUCUUUGUUGAUUUAUAAUGGUGCAAACUGAAAGCUGGCAGUUUUCUGCCUCAACUUGCAUAUUAAUUUUUUUAAUAAAAGAUGUCAUGC